UACGUAGGGUGCGAGCGUUGUCCGGAAUCAUUGGGCGUAAAGCGCACGUAGGCGGUCCGUUAAGUCUCAUAGGUGAAAGGCUGGGGCUCAACCCCAUGCAUGCCGGGGAUACUGGCGGACUGGAGACAGGUAGAGGCGAGCGGAAUUCCGGGUGUAGCGGUGGAAUGCGUAGAGAUCCGGAAGAACACCGGAGGCGAAGGCGGCUCGCUGGACCUGAUCUGACGCUGAGACGCGAAAGCGUGGGGAGCAAACAGG
rnacentral:rRNA from 1 species